rnacentral:rRNA from 1 species
CCUACGGGAGGCAGCAGUAGGGAAUCUUCCACAAUGGACGAAAGUCUGAUGGAGCAACGCCGCGUGAGUGAAGAAGGGUUUCGGCUCGUAAAGCUCUGUUGUUAGUGAAGAAAGAUAGUGGUAGUAACUGGCCUUUAUUUGACGGUAAUUUCUUAGUAAGUUACGGCCAACUACGUGCCAGCAGCCGGGGUAAUACGUCGGUGGUAAGCGUUGUCCGGUUUUAUUGGGUGUAAGGGGAGCGCAGGCGGAUCACUAGGUCUGAUGUGAAUGCCUUCGGCUCAACCGGAGAAUUGCCUCAGAAACUGUUGAACUGGAGUGCGGAAGAGGAGGGAGGAACGCCAGGUGUAGCGGUGGAAUGCGUAGAUAUAUGGAAGAACACCGGUGGCGAAGGCGGCUCUCUGGUCUGCAACUGACGCUGAGGCUCGAAAGCAUGGGUAGCGAACAGGAUUAGAUACCCGUGUAGUC